CAGUGCGCGGUAAAACGUAGGUGGCAAGCGUUGUCCGGAAUUAUUGGGCGUAAAGCGCGCGCAGGUGGUUUAAUAGGUCUGAUGUGAAAGCCCACGGCUCAGCCGUGGAGGGUCAUUGGAGACUGUUAAGCUUGAGUGCAGGAGAGGAGAGUGGAAUUCCACGUGUAGCGGUGAAAUGCGUAGAGAUGUGGAGGAACACCAGUGGCGAAGGCGACUCUCUGGUCUGUCACUGACGCUGAGGCUCGAAAGCGUGGGUAGCGAACAGGAUUAGAUACCCCAGUAGUCCCUGUCUCUUAUACUC
rnacentral:rRNA from 1 species